ACCAUCGACUUCUCUCUCCCUCUACUUAGAACACCAAAAGUUUCAGCACUCAAAAGGAGGAUUUCGGAGACGCACCAAAACUCACUCCCUAGUUCUCUCGCCGAAAGGAUCAGAAUAAGACCCAAAACAGAACCCGGAGGUCACGGAAAUCUGCUUCCGUCGCCGCCUCCGAUUCGUCGUUCGCGCCCUCCGCCGUCGCUCGGCGCUGCAACAGACGCUGCGUCGCCGCUCCGGCGGCCUCGACUUCAUCCGAGACAGCCCUCGUUUCCACCCGUUUAACCCCGCAGUUCAUGGAUUGAUGAAUUGAAUUGGGGAAGAAGAUUAUACCUUCAAAAGAACAGAUUGGAUUGAAACAAAAGAUUGCAGUUUCUGGCUUGUCCCCCUCUCGAAUCGAUCCUAGUUUCUGUCAGAAGGCUUUGGGGUAAACGAUAUUUCAUUUUAUGAGGAAGAACAUGAAAGGAGGAUGAGAGAGUGGUUACCGUGAUGGAAUUAGGAUUCGGUGAGGAAAAAUAAAGUUUCUUCCUACUGCUCCCUCCGCCGCUUUGCGAUUCAACAGUGAGAAGUGAGUGGCUGCGAAUUUGUGUGAGGGAAGGAGAUUAGGGUAGGAAGAUUUAUAUAUCUGUGUACUGAGAGCAAUUUUUGGUGCUUGAUUUCACUUUGAUUGCGUCCAAAAUUAGGAAAGAUUUGCAGGAAUGGGUGAAGAGGGAGUAAUUGCUGAGACGUAAUUGCUGGGACGUGGGAGGGGAGAAUUUUUUGUAUUUGAUUGCUUAAUCAAUUUGGGAUUAAUUGCUUUGACUGAAUUUUGAAAUUUGAAAGAUGUUUCUCUGUAGAAAUGAGGAUUCACGUGAAGGGUGAGGAGAAGGGCUCCUGAUGGUGGAAGGAAGAAUUUAGAGUAUUGGGCUCAAAAGGAAAUAGGAUUGGGCCAGGGAUAUUAUUUGAAUAAGUAUACGUUUGGGCUCAAGACCCUGUUAGAAUUUUAUUUAAAUUGUGUACUCCACAAUUUAUUCUUUGUUGGAUUGGACUUGUAUCAAUUAUUUAAUUCAUCAAAUGCGUUGGAAAUUAGUCUAAUAAAUAAUCCACAAGGAAAGGAUUUAAUUAA